rnacentral:sRNA from 1 species
CAGACACAGAUGGCCAGUCUCGAUGGCGCA